rnacentral:rRNA from 1 species
UACGUAGGGUGCGAGCGUUAAUCGGAAUUACUGGGCGUAAAGCGUGCGCAGGCGGUUCGUUAAGUCAGAUGUGAAAGCCCCGGGCUCAACCUGGGAAUGGCAUUUGAAACUGGCGGGCUGGAGUGUGGCAGAGGGGGGUGGAAUUCCACGUGUAGCAGUGAAAUGCGUAGAGAUGUGGAGGGACACCGAUGGCGAAGGCAGCCCCCUGGGCCAACACUGACGCUCAGGCACGAAAGCGUGGGGAGCAAACAGG